CCUACGGGUGGCAGCAGUGAGGAAUAUUGGUCAAUGGACGAGAGUCUGAACCAGCCAAGUAGCGUGAAGGAUGACUGCCCUAUGGGUUGUAAACUUCUUUUAUAAAGGAAUAAAACGAGGCACGUGUGCCUUUUUGCAUGUACUUUAUGAAUAAGGAUCGGCUAACUCCGUGCCAGCAGCCGCGGUAAUACGGAGGAUCCGAGCGUUAUCCGGAUUUAUUGGGUUUAAAGGGAGCGUAGAUGGGUUGUUAAGUCAGUUGUGAAAGUUUGCGGCUCAACCGUAAAAUUGCAAUUGAUACUGGCAGUCGUGAGUACAGUUGAGGUAGGCGGAAUUCGUGGUGUAGCGGUGAAAUGCUUAGAUAUCACGAAGAACCCCGAUUGCGAAGGCAGCUUACUAAACUGUGACUGACAUUGAUGCUCGAAAGUGUGGGUAUCAAACAGGAUUGGAUACCCUGGUAGUC
rnacentral:rRNA from 1 species